rnacentral:rRNA from 1 species
UACGUAGGGACCGAGCGUUGUCCGGAAUCAUUGGGCGUAAAGAGCGUGUAGGCGGCUUGCUAAGUCUUGCGUGAAAUCUCGGGGCUCAACCCCGAGCGGUCGUGGGAAACUGGCAGGCUAGAGUGCGGGAGAGGAGAAUGGAAUUCCUGGUGUAGCGGUGAAAUGCGCAGAUAUCAGGAAGAACACCCGUGGCGAAGGCGGCCUGCUGGGCCGAUCCUGACGCUGAGGCGCGAAGGCGUGGGGAGCGAACGGG